CCGAUAAGGCCGCUUCUGUUGCCCCUCCGGCCCCUAUAAACACCGCAGCCAUGGCUUUGCUCGGGGUCACGAAGGAGACGCCGGGCAUGCCAGGAAGAGGGGUGCGCGCGCGCGCCGCGACGGGUACGGAACGGAGGAGAAACGGCGAGUGGUUGUUUUGUUUAAGGCGGAGAUUGUUUUGGAGGAGUUUGUUGUUGUUAUUUAUAUAUAUAUAGAGAGAGCUGGUUUAAUGACACUCGUCCGGCAGUGGGACCCACAUCGCUGGCGGAAUUGGUCGGCGAUGGAGAAGAAAAGGCACCCCACCCCCCGCCCGUCCGUCCGCCGCUACCACCCCCUCCUCCCCGCAAGCACUCCCCGGCCGAGGCAACGUGUAGCAGCGGUGAUUCUUAGCGACAAAGAACAAUCGCGAGUGAGUUGUCCAUUAAAGAAUUGUUCAAGGUGCCGCGAUCGAACGAAGCGCGCGGAUUCCUCGUUGGCGCGACAGGCGCCGCGAGGGGACGGUCGGCGGAGAGGUCAAGACGACGUGACGUCAGAGGCAGGUCCGCCCGGAUGUCCGGUGCCAUUGCAAAGAGGCGAGGGAUGGAGGAGGGGGCGUGGGGAGGAGGGGGACGUGGGGGUGGUGAUGGCGUCACGUGACGCGAACAAUGCGUGAACCGGACAGGUCACGUGGUCAACAGAGUCACGAGGUGAUCGAGCGUUGAGACGAGACCUGGGGACGAGGGAGAGACAUGCGGAUACUGAGCAAAGAAGGAACGUGGUGCAAAACAAAACAAAGGUUCUCAUUUGAUGCUGAAUCGACCCAGAGAGAGCCCAAGGGCGGCUCAGAUAUUCGUCCACUGUGUGAGUUGGUCGUGAGCGGGAAUUGAACUCGUCACGCCGGGUUUUGCCGAGCAAUGCGCUAACCGCUGCGCCACCGCUCCCCACUCAGCUCAACACUAUACGUGAGUGACCCGACCAUACCUCACCACGCUGGUAAGUGCGGAGUUAGCUGUUAAACGUUUAGUUAUUUUGGCCAUGGGAGAAACCGCUUCCCUGUGAGUUGGCAUGCGGCCGAUUAUGAGUUAUUAUUUAAUUAUUUGGUCGCCUGUUCCAAAAUAAAGUGCUGCACUAUACACAGUGCAUGUAAGUCAGCAAAUGUUGCUGCACCCCAGUGACAACAUUGCAGCGUCUUCGAUCUGUAUCAUAUAUUCCCAUAUA